AAUACAUACUACGUACUCGCACAAGGGUCAAGCGUUCCGAUGGCAUGCUCUGUUUCGAGCCCCGUAUCCAGGGUUAUGACUGAAGUAGAGGAUGUUAAAGUUUAUGGUGUCAAGGUUCCAGGAAAAAGCUUGCUUCCAGGUUUGGAUCUCCAACGCAUAUUGUAUUGAUUAACGAAGUAAAUACUGAUUAAAAGAUUUAAUAGAAAUGACAAUCUACCGAUUAUAUAGACUAUAUUAUAAAAAGCAAAAGAGUCUAAGUAUUUGACUAUUCUAUUUAGACUUUCUCUGCAUCUCUGCACAUCCUCAGCAUGGAUAGACAAGG
rnacentral:sRNA from 2 species